AGAGUUUGAUCCUGGCUCAGGAUGAACGCUAGCGACAGGCUUAACACAUGCAAGUCGAGGGGCAGCGGGGCGGAAGCUUGCUUUCGCCGCCGGCGACCGGCGCACGGGUGAGUAACACGUAUGCAACCUGCCCUCCACAGGGGGAUAAUCGGGAGAAAUCCCGUCUAAUACCGCAUAACGCCAUCCCGGGGCAUCCCGGGGUGGCCAAAGGAGCGAUCCGGUGGAGGCUGGGCAUGCGCCGCAUUAGUUAGUUGGCGGGGUAACGGCCCACCAAGGCGACGAUGCGUAGGGGUUCUGAGAGGAAGGUCCCCCACACUGGUACUGAGACACGGACCAGACUCCUACGGGAGGCAGCAGUGAGGAAUAUUGGUCAAUGGACGCAAGUCUGAACCAGCCAUGCCGCGUGCAGGAUGACGGCUCUAUGAGUUGUAAACUGCUUUUGUACGAGGGUAAACGCAGAUACGUGUAUCUGUCUGAAAGUAUCGUACGAAUAAGGAUCGGCUAACUCCGUGCCAGCAGCCGCGGUAAUACGGAGGAUUCAAGCGUUAUCCGGAUUUAUUGGGUUUAAAGGGUGCGUAGGCGGUUUGAUAAGUUAGAGGUGAAAUUUCGGGGCUCAACCCUGAACGUGCCUCUAAUACUGUUGAGCUAGAGAGUAGUUGCGGUAGGCGGAAUGUAUGGUGUAGCGGUGAAAUGCUUAGAGAUCAUACAGAACACCGAUUGCGAAGGCAGCUUACCAAACUAUAUCUGACGUUGAGGCACGAAAGCGUGGGGAGCAAACAGGAUUAGAUACCCUGGUAGUCCACGCAGUAAACGAUGAUAACUCGUUGUCGGCGAUACACAGUCGGUGACUAAGCGAAAGCGAUAAGUUAUCCACCUGGGGAGUACGUUCGCAAGAAUGAAACUCAAAGGAAUUGACGGGGGCCCGCACAAGCGGAGGAACAUGUGGUUUAAUUCGAUGAUACGCGAGGAACCUUACCCGGGCUUGAAAGUUACUGACGAUUCUGGAAACAGGAUUUCCCUUCGGGGCAGGAAACUAGGUGCUGCAUGGUUGUCGUCAGCUCGUGCCGUGAGGUGUCGGGUUAAGUCCCAUAACGAGCGCAACCCCUACCGUUAGUUGCCAUCAGGUCAAGCUGGGCACUCUGGCGGGACUGCCGGUGUAAGCCGAGAGGAAGGUGGGGAUGACGUCAAAUCAGCACGGCCCUUACGUCCGGGGCUACACA
rnacentral:rRNA from 1 species